rnacentral:lncRNA from 1 species
CUUAUCUGGGCUUUUAUUGGACCAGCAUUACUUGUGAUUAUGGUAUGUACGAAUAUAUCAAAAAGAAGAUCUGGUAUGAUUGCCAAUGAGACAACUAUCCACAAAAGACAGACAUUGACAACUAUAGGUCGCCGUACACGCUUUCAACAAUGAGCAAAGCCCAUACCGCAUAGUCAGCUAUAAAAGGCCCCGAUAAAACAAUUCAAACGAGAAAACUAACGGCCUUAUUUAUGUAAAAAAAAAAUGAACGAAAAACAAAUAUGUAACAACAUAAACAAACGAAAACCACUGAAUUCAGGAUCCUGACUUGGGACAGGCACAUACAUAAAUAAUGUAUAGAAUGUUUGUUCAUGGUAAGGUGAACUACACUAUAUCUAUAUAGAUAGGGUUGAAAAAAGAAUAAUUAUUAAAACUGCUAUUUUUUCGAUCAUUGUAAUCUGUGGCUUUAUGAAUUACGUGUAUUUGAUAGACCUAAAUAUAUUGUUGUACACAACCUUUGCAAAUGAUCAUUUUUUUCUUAAAAAAAAUGAAACAACGAAUAACGAAUAUAAGAUAAAAGAAAAGCAUUAACCAAAAACAAUAUAUAUGUUUGUUAACAAAACAAACUAUCAUGCAAUCUGUGCAGAGCGUUUACCUGUUUAAUCUAUGCUCUUCUUUUUUUUAUAGCGGCAGAUGCGAGAAUUUCUAGGUUUAUUAUAUGGCGCAUGCAACAUCGACGUAACAAUAAAAAUCAAAUAUCGAAGAAAAGCAAAAAUCAUACUAGUAAAACAACUUUUUAAAUAUGCGUCCAUAUCUAUUUUAAGAAAAAUCAAGAUUAAGUAAACCAUACAAAAGCAGAACGGAAGUCUAAUAUUCAGAACACUUUUCUUGCAAACGUGUGUGAUAAUAUUUUUUAUAUCGCAUGUUUCAGAUUAAUUUUAUUAUAAUCAUUUUAACUGUUCAUAAAAUGAUGACCACUAGAGGGCUUGCCGCUAAAUCACUUAAAGAGAAAUCGAAGUAAGUUUAGUAUUGAUAGUGAAAAGGGUUAACAGAAAUACCCAACUCUUUUAAGUGAAUAAACCUCACUGGAUCAGACGCUGGUCAAAAUUUGUCAUCACUUUUAAAAUAUUUGAUAUAGCUCAUGCUUUAAUUGGAAUAUACAUUGAAUCUGUUAAAUCUAUUGUGUUGUAUUUAUUAUAAAUAUAAAAGAAAUGUUAAUAAACAUGCAUAUCUACACAGAAUCAUUAUUUUUUUUAAUUAUGCAUCAUCAAUAGUCUUCACAUUAGAAUACUGCGAAAGGAGAAUUGAUAUAUUCAUGACAUUAAAUCACCAACAAAUUUGUAUAAUAUAAAUAUCAGAUAAUUCAGACAGCAUGCGAUUAAUAUAUUAAAAAUAUUAACAUUUUGUUUUAAAUGUCAUUACAUAAAUUGAAAAUUUUUGUUAAUGUUUCAUGACAUAAUACUUGUAUGGUGUUUUUGUCGUAGGAUUGGUUUAAAAAGUAUAUGUGUCAUCUUGCCGUUGUUUGGAGUAACGUGGGUACUAGGAGCUUUUUCUGUGAACGAUGAUCUGGUCAUUUUCCAA